GACGAACGCUGGCGGCGUGCUUAACACAUGCAAGUCGAACGAAGUGGCGAACGGGUGAGUAAUACGUGAGUAACUGCCCCCCUCUCUGGGAUAACAGUUGGAAACGGCUGCUAAUACCGGAUAGUGGGGGAUGACUCGCGUCCUAUCAGCUUGUUGGUGGGGUAGUGGCCUACCAAGGCGACGACGGUUAGCCGGCCUGAGAGGGCGAACGGCCACAUGGGGCGUGGGUACCGGCCAAACCGCUACGGGGGGCAGCAGUGGGGAAUAUUGCACAAUGGGGGAAACCCUGAUGGAGGAACGCCGGGUGCGGGAUGACGGCCUUCGGGUUGUAAACCGCUUUAAGCCAUGACGCGGUAGUGGCAGAAGAAGCACCGGCUAACUACGUGCCAGCAGCCGCGGUAAUUC
rnacentral:rRNA from 1 species